UCGUUUAUUCAUGCCUCAGUGUAGCAAUGCACCGGUAUAUUGCAAAUUAAAAACGAAAACGCCAUUAGUGUUCGAAUUUUUACAUCCUAUUGGAAAAUCCCUCCAUACGUGGGCCCGAGCAUUAGUUACAAUUCGCGACUACGAAGUUGAGUUUGACAGCUUAUGUGUGUGAAGUGGAAGUAAACAAGCAAAAGAAAAAAGUGAUAAAUUUUCAAACGUACCGUUUUCCUCGAUUUUAGUUUUGCUGUUUGAAAUGGAGCCUUCAAAAGAUGUUACGUGUACUGUGUUGAUGAACUUGUCGGAAGAUUUUAGCUACGCUGCCGGAGGAAACCGUUCGGAUAGUUGGAGUAGAUGAGAUCUACAAUUAUGGAUUUGGCUUAUUUUCGACUCCAAGUGUCGAGCCGCACACAAUCAAAGUUUGUACUAGAAGUGAACGCUCUGCUUGGUUAUUUGCAUGUACUUGCAAAACCAGUGAAGGAAAAUGCAAACAUGUGAUAGCUGUUUUGAAUCAUUUAUUGAGAAAAUCAAAGCUCAAAAGAACGAUUAACAUCCAACGAGAUUAAAACGAGCGGCAGUCGGAUAUUCCGAACUGAUAACAUCAAGUUUGAGGACAUUUGACAUUUAUUUAUUAAUUAUGUUUUAUUGUCAGAUGAAUAAAUUUAAUAUACAUAAA